rnacentral:rRNA from 1 species
GAAGAACGCCUGGCGGUUAAUACCCGCCAGGUAAGACAUCACCCACGGAAGAAGCACCGGCUAACUCCGUGGCAGCAGCCGCGGUAAUACGGAGGGUGCGAGCGUUAAUCGGAAUUACUGGGCGUAAAGCGCGCGUAGGCGGCGUGAUAAGCCGGUUGUGAAAGCCCCGGGCUCAACCUGGGAAUGGCAUCCGGAACUGUCAGGCUAGAGUGCAGGAGAGGAAGGUAGAAUUCCCGGUGUAGCGGUGAAAUGCGUAGAGAUCGGGAGGAAUACCAGUGGCGAAGGCGGCCUUCUGGACUGACACUGACGCUGAGGUGCGAAAGCGUGGGUAGCAAACAGGAUUAGAAACCCUUGUAGUCUUAAG